UAAGCUCCCGUUUUAGUAUAAUAACUUUUUUAAGGGAUUAUAACUUGUACUUCCAAUAUGUCGACAUGGAUAAACAGCCCGAAGUCAACUUUGUAAUUGCUCCGUCACCAUGAUGUGUCGCUGUGGUACGAAAGGAUUGGGAUCAAGUACAUGUUAUGCAGAUUGUUGAGAGCAAUAUGAUAUGAGGGAAGUAUGUACUCAUGGCAAAAUGGUGUUCGAGAGGUGGCGAAUAAGGAUUUUCUUGCAGCAUUGAAGAACGAUAAUAUGCAAAGAAAAGAAAGAAAGGUCCUCUUAACAUAAAAAGUAAAGAAAUAAUGAAGUUCACACUACAGUUGACAUGAUUUAUUUUAACUUACAUAACAAGUAUGCACAACAAUAAUGAAUAUCUAUAUUAAUAGUAAUGAUAUUCCAUUAAACAUGGAUAUGGAAAAAAUACUCUUUGACAGUGCAAGAUAAGAUAAAUCCAGACAAAGUCAUAGUCUUCAGUUAACUUGGAUGUGUUCCAUUUGUUUCAUCCACAUACUUGAAAUUUGUCUUGUAACUACAUGUAUUUAUUAGGUUAAGUGGUGAUUAAUCAACCUUUAUCAUAACAUUUUCUUAUUUGGGGAUAGUAUGUAUUUAUGUUGACACUAUGUGUACCUUCAUUCUCUUCAUUUUUCUGUAAGAAACAAGACCAAAUGUGUAGUGGCCAAUCAGAGCCCACUAUUGGUAAACCCGCCUCUGUGUAUGAUAAGCCCGCCUCUGGCUAACAGUUGCAUGUAUGUUGAUAGUUCAGUUAUUGAUUAGAUUCAAGAUCGUGUGCGUAUGAGUAUGAAUGUAAUAAAGCUAUA